GUGAGGAAUAUUGGUCAAUGGGCGAGAGCCUGAACCAGCCAAGUCGCGUGAAGGAAGACGGCCCUACGGGUUGUAAACUUCUUUUGCAAUGGAAUAAAAAGAGUUACGUGUAAUUCAUUGUAUGCACAUUGCGAAUAAGGAUCGGCUAACUCCGUGCCAGCAGCCGCGGUAAUACGGAGGAUCCGAGCGUUAUCCGGAUUUAUUGGGUUUAAAGGGUGCGUAGGCGGAUUGGAAAGUCAGCGGUGAAAGUUUGCAGCUUAACUGUAAAAUUGCCAUUGAAACUGUCAGUCUUGAGUGCAAAUGAGGUAGGCGGAAUGUGUUGUGUAGCGGUGAAAUGCUUAGAUAUAACACAGAACUCCGAUUGCGAAGGCAGCUUACUGGGAUGCAACUGACACUGAUGCACGAAAGCGUGGGUAUCAAACAGGAUUAGAAACCCUUGUAGUCC
rnacentral:rRNA from 1 species